rnacentral:lncRNA from 1 species
AGAAUAAGUCUUCAAAGGCAAAGAGAGCAAGCAUAGGAGAAACCUCUGAAAUAAGAUCUCCAGCACCUCUGCAAAUAUCUACUGGUAAGUCUGCUCCCUCUAUUCCCUCUGAACAACUUAUGGCUUCUUCUAGUCCUCUCCUAACACCACCUAUAUACACAUCCUCUGAAACCCCAUCUUCUACAACCAGAACCUCACAACCUCUACCCAAUUUUAAUCUUGCUCACACUACCACUUCCUC